rnacentral:sRNA from 1 species
AUGACUCUCAAAAUAUGGUACAUGCUAUACUUUCCCCUUAACUCCUGUUUGGUUUGUUCAAUUGACAAAAGAAAACUUAUUUUUGCUUAUCCUAUGCUUGAAUGUGUUUGAUAGCUCUGUUUUGUGAUAUUGAUUAGUGCUAUAAAUGCUGGGUUACUUUUAUGCUCCUCAUCAUGGUUAGGAAGUAAUAAAUUGAUGAUUUUCUAUUGAUUUUGAAGUUUGUUAAUGUAGAUCAACUUGGAAUAAGAUUAGGGAAAAGCAUUUAGUUGUCGAUUGGAGGGCUUUGGUUUGGUUGUUGUUUUGGCUGCUAUUUGCAAGCAAUGCCUUCAUUUCUUGGCUAACUAUCAUGGAUAAACUUCCCACUCCUGACAUGGCUGGUAAAUGAGGAUACAAUUCUGAUCUCAUUUGUGUGUUCUGUAGGAGAUAUCUAGAGUCCAGGCAAGCAGUUGAAUGAGUAGGUAGCUAGCUAAAAAGUAAAAGUCAUGGUUUAUUCUCAAAACAGUACAAAAAUUUGAAGAAUUUGCUGGAGAUGCUCUUAGAGAGUUAGUAAGAGUGAGAAGAACGGAUUGAUAUUGGAGGAAUGAGAGAAGAAGAAAAAGAAAAAGAUAAUGGCAUCUGUAGAUUCAGUACUGUUACUAUAAAAAUAAUAACACGUUUUAGGGUGUGUUUAAAUACUGUUUAUUUUGUUAAAAUUGAAAAUUAUUGCUGAAAAUACGGUACAUAAAGGUAAAAGUUAUUUGAAAUAGUAUAGUGAGGUUCAUGAAUAAUAUCAAAAAGUGCAAUAGGACUCAUAAAUAGUAGCAAAAAAAAAAAAGAGUAAAUAGUAAAAUAAUUUUAAUUUUUAAUUAUUCCUCGAACGCACGCUUAAUUUCUUGACAAUUUGGUAUUGCCAAAAGCUAAAGUCACUGCCAGACUUCAUUCUUACUACAAUUGACAAUCAGGGCUGUCCCUUUAUCUCGGAACGUUGUGAAAGAGGAAGAGGAGAGUACUGGCCCAAUAUUUCUCAUAUCCCAAACAUUCAAAUUGAUUUCAAGGAUGUGCAAAUUGACGGUCAACUCCAGUUGGAUUCAGGCACUUCAAAGGUAACUUCUUUAAUUUUUUUUUUUUCCCAAAUAUCAAUUAAAUAUAUCCUAAUAUUUAAUGGAUUAGAUUGUCCUAAGAGAAAGGCAUUUGUCAAUUAACUAUCAUAUUUUGGCCAAAAUCAGAAACACACUGCCCACAAAAUUAUUCAAUCUAGUUUCUGGGCGUUCAUAUUCUUUACUUAUUUAUUUAUAAUUCCCAUAAAGUUUAUUUUUAUUUUUGGCUGUGAUUCUUUUUGGUUGUCUAAUAUCUUAUUCUAUUUAAUUUCUUUUUACUUGUUCGUUUGUAAUUUUAUGGUUUAAUAUUAUAUGGGUCUUUGUGGGUUUACUUCAUUUUGGGCAUUUAGACUCUAAUCUAACAUAACUCUUUUACUUUUCUUAUAAAAUGGGUGAUGAUCAAGAUUAAAGGCAAUGAAUCUGGGCAAGAAAUCAAUGAUAAAGAUGACAUGGUUGAGAUGGACAAGAUUCAGGACAGUAAUUUUGAGUAUGAGGCGGAUGAACAAUUGGAAGUACCCAUUGAUGAGAGUGGGUAGUAAGAGCAAGGUGUUGAAGAGGACAGAGAACAUUACCUUUUAAUAUCUGUUUAUAUUGCCACUUUAUGCCUCUAAUUUCUUGUUACCGCUAAUAUUUCUAUUUUGGAUUAGUUGUUUGAUCCCAUUGUGUGUUUAGAUUAAUGAUUAUAGUCAUUAAAACAAGAUUAGCUUUUUAUUUAUUAGUAUUAUUGAAUUUUUUUUUGUGUGCUUGUGUGCGAUCAUUAAAUUUUUGCUACGAGUAAAAUUUUUUGAAUCAUGAUGGUGAUAGAGAUGAGGGAUAUAGAGCCGUUGUUUUUGCAAGUUUGGGGUGACCAUAACUCUCCAUUUUGCUGCAUUUCUUUUACUCUCGCCUUUGAACCAGAAGGAUCUGUCCCUCCCUGCUGCCACCCUAACCCCUCCAAUUAUGGAUAUUCAAAUUUGUAAUAUUUUUCUGGUGUUGAUUUCAAUUCCAUGUUUUGAUUGGCUUACUCAGUUGUUAUUUUGAGCUAUAUAUGAUUUGUAAUUUUUUCUUUGAUUUAUCACUAAUUCAUGUGAUUACUCUUAGCAGUCUAUAUAAAAAAUGUUUUUGCAUUUGUCAUUUUGGUCAAAUAGAAAAAUUGAAUCCUAAAUAUUUUCCUACUAUUCCAUGUCAAUGUCUAUAUUUGUCUCUCUUAUCCAAGUCUUUCACUUUUCUCCUUCGUCUUCUUUACUUCUCAUCUUUAAAUGAUCAUCAUUCGCAAUCCAGGACGCUGACUGGGCACAUCCAUCUAGUAAUUCAGCUGCCCAGUUCAAUUAGUGUUAUCAUUAAAAGAUCUUCUCUUUCUUUCUUUUCUUUUUUUUUUGAGUGUUUCCAUUGAUUAAUUCUUCUUAAUCAAAUCAGCCAAAUUGUAAAGAGAAACAUUGUUUCUCGAAUUAGCUCCGUCAAACUCUUGUAGGUCAGAAACUUUUAUGCAAGAUUCAUAGCAAUGUAUGUUACCCUUGUUAGCUGAGAUGUGGAGUGGAGUCACCCUUUUAUCUUGAUGGGAUCUAGUUAUUUGCGAGUUACAUGAAUGUGCCAGUGGUUUGCGUAUCUGUAUCCCCUUUUGCGAGUGCAAUUCUGAAAUUAUGCAUCUCGCUAUAUUAAACAUGCCCAUAAUUGUCCGUCAGACACAGUUCCACUCUAUGAUGUCAAGAAAUUGAACUGACCUUUACAAAUAGUAUAUGGCUUGAUUUUGUUAAAAUUAUUUCUAUAAACAUAGCUUGAUUGACCUCUUCAUCGAAUCUCUUAUUUAUUGACCUCUUUAUUUUGGGUAUUUGGAACAAUCUGACAUAAUUCAUAUGCUUUUCUUUUAGGCAUGCAUGUAGAUGGAUGAUGAUCAAGACAAUGAAUUCAGCCAAGAAAUCAAUGGCAAAAAUAACGUGGUUGAGGUAUACAAGAUUGAGGACAGUAAUGAUGAAGAAAAUAUGACUAAGCAUAAGGAUUUAUCAAACAAGAAGAUGGGACUAAGAAUAAGGUGGAUGAAGAAGUAGAAGUAGGCAACGAUGAGGAAAAUUCACAGAGCUGGACAGUACAGGCCAAUUGACAUGCACCGAAGAAGAGGGAUACAUAUUUUGAGGGUGGGUAGCGAGAGCAAGGUGUUGAAGAUGACAGAGACUUUAAAGAUGAAGAAGGAGGUGAGAUUCCUUGUUUACUUGCAUGAACAUUACCUUUAAAUCUCUUAUCUCUAGUUACUUUGUAUAUUUUUAUCUCCGAUUAAUUGUUUGAAUCCCAUUGUGUCUUUAGAUUAAUGAUUAUUGUUGUUAAGUUUUUUGUUGAUGGGUUUUAUUGAAUUUUUGUGUCAGGUAUCAUGA